rnacentral:rRNA from 1 species
UUAAUAUUUAUUUAUUAAUUUUUUAUUUAAAGUAUUUAUAAUAUUAAAAAUAAUUAUAUAAAUUAUGGUUUUAGUAUUUUUUAAAAAAUAAAUAAUUUUAAUAAUAGUUUAUUAGUAUUGUAAAAUAAAAUUGAAAUAAUUUGAAAAAUUAUUAUUUAAAAAGAAAAUUUAAUUUAUUGUAUCUUGUGUAUCAGAGUAUAUUAAAUAUAUAAAUAAAUAUUUUAUUUUUCUCGAUUUUAAAAGAUUUAAUAAAUUAAUAAAUAUAAUGUAAUAAAAUUAUUUUUAAUAAUUUAUUAGAAAUGAAAUGUUAUUCGUUUUUAAAGGUAUCUAGUUUUUAAAGAAAUAAAUUUAAUUUAAUUUUUAAAAAUUUAUUAAUUUAAUUAAUUUAAAAUUAAUAAUUUUUUAAAAUUAAUAUUUUAUGGGAUAAGCUAUAAAAUAAAUUUUUAUAAAUAAUAAAUAUUUAUUUAAAUUAUAUAUGUUUAGAAUUAUCAAUUUUUGUUAAGUUUGUUAUAAAUUAAUUUUUAUAAUUAAAUUAUUUAUUAUAUUUUAAGUUUUUAUUUAAAUAUUUAUUUUAAUAUUUAAAAUAAAUUAAUAAUGAUAUAAUUAGUAUAUUUAAUAUGUUUUUAUAUGAAUUGAUUGGUAAGUUUUUAUAAAGAAUUCGGCAAAAAUAAUGUUCGCCUGUUUAACAAAAACAUGUCUUUUAGAAUUUAAUUUAAAGUCUAACCUGCCCACUGAAUUUUAAAUGGCCGCAGUAUUUUAACUGUGCAAAGGUAGCAUAAUCAUUAGUCUUUUAAUUGAAGGCUGGAAUGAAUGGUUGGACGAAAUAUUAACUGUUUCAUAAAAAAUUAAAAUAAAAUUUUAUUUUUUAGUUAAAAAGCUAAAAUUUAUUUAAAAGACGAGAAGACCCUAUAAAUCUUUAUAUAAAAAAUUAAUUUUAAUUUUUAGGAUAUUUUUGAUUAAAUUAUUUUUUUAUAUUUUAUUGGGGUGAUAGUAAAAUUUAAAAAACUUUUAAUAAUAAAAUCAUUUAUUUAUGAAUAAUUGAUCCAUUAUUAAUGAUUAUAAAAUUAAGUUACUUUAGGGAUAACAGCGUAAUUUUUUUGGAGAGUUCAUAUUGAUAAAAAAGAUUGCGACCUCGAUGUUGGAUUAAGAUAUAGUUUUAGGUGUAGCCGUUUAAAAUUUAAGUCUGUUCGACUUUUUGAAUCUUACAUGAUCUGAGUUCAAACCGGUGUAAGCCAGGUUGGUUUCUAUCUUUAAAAUAUUUUUAUAUUUUAGUACGAAAGGAUUAAAUAUUUAAAUAAUUUUAUUUUGAAUUAUGAAUAUAAUUAAUAUUU